GGACGACCGCUGGCGGCGUGCUUACCACCUGCAAGUCGAACGAUGAAAGAGUAGCUUGCUCCUCUGGAUUAGUGGCGAACGGGUGAGUAACACGUGAGCAAUCUGCCCCUGACUCCGGAAUAACUACGGGAAACUGUAGCUAAUACCGGAUAUGCGCCGAACAGGCAUCUGUAUCGGUGGGAAAGAAUUUCGGUCAGGGAUGAGCUCGCGGCCUAUCAGCUUGUUGGUGAGGUAACGGCUCACCAAGGCGACGACGGGUAGCCGGCCUGAGAGGGUGACCGGCCACAUUGGGACUGAGACACGGCCCAGACUCCUACGGGAGGCAGCAGUGGGGAAUAUUGCACAAUGGGCGCAAGCCUGAUGCAGCAACGCCGCGUGAGGGAUGACGGCCUUCGGGUUGUAAACCUCUUUUAGCAGGGAAGAAGCGAAAGUGACGGUACCUGCAGAAAAAGCGCCGGCUAACUACGUG
rnacentral:rRNA from 1 species